AGUGAACGCUGGCGGUAGGCCUAACACAUGCAAGCCGAACGGCAGCACAGUAAGAGCUUGCUCUUACGGGUGGCGAGUGGCGGACGGGUGAGGAAUACAUCGGAAUCUACUUUUUCGUGGGGGAUAAUGUAGGGAAACUUACGCUAAUACCGCAUACGACCUACGGGUGAAAGCAGGGGAUCUUCGGACCUUGCGCGAUUGAAUGAGCCGAUGUCGGAUUAGCUAGUUGGCGGGGUAAAGGCCCACCAAGGCGACGAUCCGUAGCUGGUCUGAGAGGAUGAUCAGCCACACUGGAACUGAGACACGGUCCAGACUCCUACGGGAGGCAGCAGUGGGGAAUAUUGGACAAUGGGCGCAAGCCUGAUCCAGCCAUACCGCGUGGGUGAAGAAGGCCUUCGGGUUGUAAAGCCCUUUUGUUGGGAAAGAAAAGCAGCAGGUUAAUACCCCGCUGUUCUGACGGUACCCAAAGAAUAAGCACCGGCUAACUUCGUG
rnacentral:rRNA from 1 species